rnacentral:pre_miRNA from 1 species
AAUGAAGUUAAUCUUGUCGCCAAAACUCAACAUCAAAAUUUUGUAAACAAACACCGUUUCUGAGCCUUCUGCACUAGUUUAACCAGAUUUCGAUGUUGAAUUUUGGCAACAAGGUUAACUUCAUU